rnacentral:rRNA from 1 species
GACGUAGGGCGCGAGCGUUGUCCGGAUUUAUUGGGCGUAAAGAGCUCGUAGGCGGCCUGUCACGUCGGAUGUGAAAGCCCGGGGCUUAACCCCGGGUCUGCAGUGGAUACGGGCUGGCUGGAGGCAGGCAGGGGAGAACGGAAUUCCUGGUGUAGCGGUGAAAUGCGCAGAUAUCAGGAGGAACACCGGCGGCGAAGGCAAUCCCCUGGGCCUGCACUGACGCUCAUGCACGAAAGCGUGGGGAGCAAACAGG